AGGAAACUGAGGCUCAGAGGCAAGGACAACUCAUCCAGGCAUUAGGGGGUAUAAUUUACCUCUGAAAUUGAUGAAUAUCAAAUUCACCAGCUGAUAAAACCCACCAAGGGUGCAUGUCAGACCUUGUAUCAGAACCUUCCCGGAAAACAAGUUCUAGCAUGAUUUAAUUAAAUUAAUUAAUUUAUUUGGGUUUUUCAGACAGGGUCUCACUAUGUAGCCCAGGCUGGCCUCAAACUCACAGUGAUCCUCCUGCCUCAGCCUCCCAACUGCUGGGAUUACAGAGAGAAGAAUCAACUUGCCUGGGGUCACCCAGCUACUGAGGUGUAGACUGGACAGGACAGGGGUGGUGAGGGGAAA
ensembl:lncRNA